CAAUAGCGUAUAUUAAAGUUGUUGCGGUUAAAAAGCUCGUAGUUGGAUUUCUGCUGAGGACGACCGGUCCGCCCUCCGGGUGAGCAUCUGGUUCGGCCUUGGCAUCUUCUUGGUGAACGUAUCUGCACUUGACUGUGUGGUGCGGUACCCAGGACUUUUACUUUGAGGAAAUUAGAGUGUUCAAAGCAGGCCUACGCUUGAAUACAUUAGCAUGGAAUAAUGGAAUAGGACUUUGGUGCUAUUUUGUGGUUUAUGGGACCGAAGUAAUGAUUAACAGGGACAGUUGGGGCCGUUUAUAUUUCGUUGUCAGAGGUGAAAUUCUUGGAUUUACGAAAGAUAAACUUCUGCGAAAGCAUUCGGCAAGGAUGUUUUCAUUGAUCAAGAACGAAAGUUAGGGGAUCGAAGACGAUUAGAU
rnacentral:rRNA from 1 species